UACGUAGGGUCCAAGCGUUAUCCGGAUUCACUGGGCGUAAAGCGUGCGUAGGUGGUCUGUUAAGUGAGAUGUAAAAGCGUGUGGCUCAACCACAUUGUUGCGUUUCAUACUGGCAGACUAGAGGACGGCAGAGGCAAGUGGAAUUUCAGGUGUAGCGGUGAAAUGCGUAGAUAUUGGGAAGAACACCGAUGGCGAAGGCAGCCAUCUGGACCGACACUGACGCUGAGGCGCGAAAGCGUGGGGAGCAAACAGG
rnacentral:rRNA from 1 species